AGCAAACACAUCUCUUCACAUCGAAACAAUCGUCAUCGGAUAAUCGUUCCGAUCCGGGUUCCCGGAAGUGUCAAUUUCGAAACCAGAACCCACCGUCGCUCACCCGUCGUUUCCGAACCCUCGAAACGACACCGGUGACUAGCCAACCAGGCUCAGCAACAAUAUGAUUUACAGUGAGGCACGGUCGGAAGAAUUCCAAACCGAAAUCGCGUUCCGUCGGCGGAUUUCGCCGAAAAACGCACCGAAAAUCGAC
rnacentral:lncRNA from 1 species